CCCCCCCUUCCUCGCCGACAUCCCCCCCUCUUCCCGGAGCGGACCCCAGGCCUGCACCUCGCCUACCCCGCAGGGCCCAUUUCCUCUCUGUGGGACACCCCCACUUUCUCCACGGUUCUGGGCCCCAAAGACUUGGGAAUUUGGAGAUGCCUGACUUGGAAGGGUUGACCCGAGUGGGUUUUGGUGAAAUGCUUCACGACUACUGUUAUUAGCUGUUUCUAUGAGAUGCCCAGAUUAUGAAGUAAUUUGUGUCAAGUCUUUGGAUUCAUAGUUUCAGUGCUUUUUCCAAUGCAUCAUCCAACUCAUAGGACAAAUAGCAGAAUCUCAUUAUCCAUCAAAUGAGUGAUAACCGUGCCAUUGCACAAGAUGGAAAGCAGAGACCGCUCUGUCCUCCUGCUCCAAUUUGGACUGAUUGCUCCCUGGAUCUGUGCCAAGCUUGAUUCCACACCUCCCUUCACUAUCACCCUGCACUCCCCUUUGCCCACACCCUGUUGGAACCCCUGCUUCCCUGUUCUCCCUAUUUUAUGGUUUAAUCUCUUACUUAGGCAGAGCAUGUCCUUCAGGAAUUUCCUGAGAGAGAGUUGGUGGAGGGAAAAUUUAAAGCCUUGACUUGCCUUUAAAUGACUUUGUUCUUUCAUAUUCAAUUGCUAGUUUAGCUAGACACAGAAUUCUAGGUUGGAAAAAAUUUCCCUCAAAAUUCUGAAGACAUUUUCCUAUUAUCUUCUAGCUGUUGGUGUUGUUGGGAAAUUCAAUACCAUUCUUUCUUAGUUCUGUCUGUAAAUUUCCAGGAUCUUUUCCUUAUUGCCGGUAUUCUGAAGCUCCAUGGUGACAUGUCUU
rnacentral:lncRNA from 1 species